AAUCAACGCUGGCGGCGUGCCUCAGACAUGCAAGUCGAACGCGAAAUUUCCCUUCGGGGAGAAAGUAGAGUGGCGCACGGGUGAGUAACACGUAGGUAAUUUGCCUUCGGGUGGGGAAUAACUCAGGGAAACUUGAGCUAAUACCGCAUAAUGCAGCGGCUCGACAUCGAGACAGUUGUUAAAGCGGGGGUGGAGCAAUCCGACCUCGCGCCUAAAGAAGAAGCCUCGCGGCAGAUUAGCUAGUUGGUAAGGUAAUGGCUUACCAAGGCGACGAUCUGUAACCGGCCUGAGAGGGCGGUCGGUCACACUGACACUGACA
rnacentral:rRNA from 1 species